rnacentral:rRNA from 1 species
CCCUUAGAUGUCCUGGGCCGCACGCGCGCUACACUGAUACAUUCAACGAGUUUUACCUUGGCCGAGAGGCCUGGGCAAUCUUUUAAACCUGCAUCGUGAUAGGGAUAGAUUAUUGCAAUUAUUAAUCUUGAACGAGGAAUUCCUAGUAAACGCAGAUCAUCAAUCUGCAUUGAUUACGUCCCUGCCCUUUGUACACACCGCCCGUCGCACCUACCGAUUGAAUGGUCCGGUGAAGCCUCGGGAUUGUGGCCAGUUCACUUUAUUGGGAGUUGGCUGCGAGAACUUGUCUAAACCUUAUCAUUUAGAGGAAGGUGAAGUCGUAACA